UACAGAGGUCUCAAGCGUUGUUCGGAUUCAUUGGGCGUAAAGGGUGCGUAGGUGGCGUCGUAAGUCGGGUGUGAAAUUUCGGAGCUUAACUCCGAAACUGCAUUCGAUACUGCGGUGCUUGAGGACUGGAGAGGAGACUGGAAUUUACGGUGUAGCAGUGAAAUGCGUAGAGAUCGUAAGGAAGACCAGUGGCGAAGGCGGGUCUCUGGGACAGUUCCUGACACUGAGGCACGAAGGCCAGGGGAGCAAACGGG
rnacentral:rRNA from 1 species